GACGAACGCUGGCGGCGUGCUUAACACAUGCCAGUCGAACGGAAAGGCCCUGCUUUUGUGGGGUGCUCGAGUGGCGAACGGGUGAGUAACACGUGAGUAACCUGCCCUUGACUUUGGGAUAACUUCAGGAAACUGGGGCUAAUACCGGAUAGGAGCUCCUGCUGCAGGGUGGGGGUUGGAAAGUUUCGGCGGUUGGGGAUGGACUCGCGGCUUAUCAGCUUGUUGGUGGGGUAGUGGCUUACCAAGGCUUUGACGGGUAGCCGGCCUGAGAGGGUGACCGGCCACAUUGGGACUGAGAUACGGCCCAGACUCCUACGGGAGGCAGCAGUGGGGAAUAUUGCACAAUGGGCGGAAGCCUGAUGCAGCAACGCCGCGUGCGGGAUGACGGCCUUCGGGUUGUAAACCGCUUUCGCCUGUGACGAAGCGUGAGUGACGGUAAUGGGUAAAGAAGCGCCGGCUAACUACGUG
rnacentral:rRNA from 1 species